rnacentral:misc_RNA from 1 species
GAUGAAGAACGUAGUGAAAUGCGAUAAGUAAUGUGAAUUGCAGAAUUCCGUGAAUCAUCGAAUCUUUGAACGCAUAUUGCGCCCUCUGGUAUUCCGGGGGGCAUGCCUGUUCGAGCGUCAUUACAACCCUCAGGCCCCCGGGCCUGGCGUUGGGGAUCGGCGGAGCCCCCCGUGGGCACACGCCGUCCCCCAAAUACAGUGGCGGUCCCGCCGCAGCUUCCAUCGCGUAGUAGCUAACACCUCGCGACUGGAGAGCGGCGCGGCCACGCCGUAAAACACCCAACUCUUCUGAAGUUGACCUCGAAUCAGGUAGGAAUACCCGCUGAACUUAAGCAUAUCAAUAAGCGGAGGA